GUUGUUUUAGUGUAUGCAGUGUGUGUUGUGUUAGUGUAUGCAGUGUGUGUGUUGUGUUAGUGUAUGCAGUGUGUGUUGUGUUAGUGUAUGCAGUGUGUGUGUGUGUUGUGUUAGUGUAUGUAGUGCGUGUGUUGUGUUAGUGUAUGCAGUGUGUGUGUUGUGUUAGUGUAUGCAGUGUGUGUUGUGUUAGUGUAUGCAGUGUGUGUGUGUGUGUUGUGUUAGUGUAUGCAGUGUGUGUUGUUAGUGUGUG